rnacentral:ncRNA from 1 species
ACCCCUGUGAGAAUGCCCCAUAUCUCUUCUGAGAAUAAGGAGCUGGUAUCAGGCACACAAAGAUAGCCCAUAACACCUUGCUUAGCCACACCCUUAAGGGAAUUCAGCAGUGAUAAAAAUUAAGCCAUAAGUGAAAACUUGACUUAGUUAAGGCUGAAAGGGCCGGUCAAACUCGUGCCAGCCACCGCGGUUAUACGAGAGGCCCAAAUUGAUAAAAAGCGGCGUAAAGAGUGGUUAAGUUUAAAUAAACUAAAGUUAAACAUCUUCAAAGCUGUUAUACGCACCCGAAGUUAUGAAAACCAUCUACGAAAGUAACUUUAAACCUCUGACUCCACGAAAGCUGUGAAACAAACUGGGAUUAGAUACCCCACUAUGCACAAUCAUAAACUGAAAUGGAAUAUGCACGAUUCAUUCGCCAGGGGACUACAAGCACUAGCUUAAAACCCAAAGGACUUGGCGGUGCUUUAGACCCACCUAGAGGAGCCUGUUCUAGAACCGAUACCCCCCGUUAAACCUCACCCUCCCUUGUUAAAACCGCCUAUAUACCGCCGUCGUCAGCUUACCUUGUGAAAGCUUAAUAGUAAGCAAUGUUGGUAAAACCCAAAACGUCAGGUCGAGGUGUAGUAUAUGAGAGGGGAAGAAAUGGGCUACAUUCAUCUGACGAUGAAAACGAAUUAUUAACUGAAAACUAAUAUGAAGGAGGAUUUAGCAGUAAAAAAGGAAUAGAGAGCCUUUUUGAAACAGGCCCUGAAGCGCGCACACACCGCCCGUCACUCUCCCCUAAAAUAAGCUUAAAAUAUAUAAUAAGACAUUAAAAAUAAGGGGAGGCAAGUCGUAACAUGGUAAGUAUACCGGAAGGUGUACUUGGAAUAU